rnacentral:rRNA from 1 species
UAUGGCGACCGGCGCACGGGUGAGUAACACGUAUCCAACCUGCCGAUGACUCGGGGAUAGCCUUUCGAAAGAAAGAUUAAUACCCGAUGGCAUAGUUCUUCCGCAUGGUAGAACUAUUAAAGAAUUUCGGUCAUCGAUGGGGAUGCGUUCCAUUAGGUUGUUGGCGGGGUGACGGCCCACCAAGCCUUCGAUGGAUAGGGGUUCUGAGAGGAAGGUCCCCCACAUUGGAACUGAGACACGGUCCAA